rnacentral:rRNA from 1 species
AUUGAACGCUGGCGGCAUGCCUAACACAUGCAAGUCGAGCGGAUGAAGGGAGCUUGCUCCUGGAUUCAGCGGCGGACGGGUGAGUAAUGCCUAGGAAUCUGCCUGGUAGUGGGGGAUAACGUCCGGAAACGGGCGCUAAUACCGCAUACGUCCUGAGGGAGAAAGUGGGGGAUCUUCGGACCUCACGCUAUCAGAUGAGCCUAGGUCGGAUUAGCUAGUUGGUGGGGUAAAGGCCUACCAAGGCGACGAUCCGUAACUGGUCUGAGAGGAUGAUCAGUCACACUGGAACUGAGACACGGUCCAGACUCCUACGGGAGGCAGCAGUGGGGAAUAUUGGACAAUGGGCGAAAGCCUGAUGCAGCCAGGCCGCGUGUGUGAAGAAGGUCUUCGGAUUGUAAAGCACUUUAAGUUGGGAGGAAGGGCAGUAAGUUAAUACCUUGCUGUUUUGACGUUACCAACAGAAUAAGCACCGGCUAACUUCGUG